CUGGAGAGAGGGCCUGAAGGCCUGACAGAAAAUUCCUCUAUGGAUCAACACGUCUCUGAGUUACUCCAUCAUGGGUUGGGAUGAAAGUUCAUUACUGGGAUGUUCUGCAAGUGAUGAAGUAAAGCUGACCAGGAUGAGUAUAAAUACAACACUGAACAACAAACCAUCAGACACAUAGUCACUGUAGGUUGCUCUGUUCUUACUGACUUCACCACUUCUUGUCUUCAAAGAUGAAGAUGUUCAGCGUUGCAGUGGCCGUCAUGAUCGUCCUCAUUUGCUCUGAGAGGAGUUCUGCUGUCCCCGUGGAUCAAGGGCCUGCAGCCAGUGAUGAUCUGAUUCCUGUAAAUCAAGAGAUUCCUGCUGAAUCAGAGGAGAUGCCAGUGGUUAACAGGAUGAAGCGUAGUUGUGGCACUUGCUGUGUGAAUACUUCUAAAGGCAGAAUCUGCACAAGAUGCUGCGACAUCUGAUCCCUGUCUGUCUGGAUGGAUGGGAAUUCCUCUAUGCAGAAGUGUGACAGUCCACUGAGAUGCUGCCGCUGCCACACAAAUUCUAGAGAUGUAACCACAUGCAUUAUGUGCUCUGAUUGAUGGCAUAAACAUGAAAUAAAGUUUUCUGAUAUGA